rnacentral:rRNA from 1 species
UACGAAGGGGGCUAGCGUUGCUCGGAAUCACUGGGCGUAAAGGGUGCGUAGGCGGGUCUUUUAAGUCAGAUGUGAAAUACCCGAGCUUAACUUGGGUGCUGCAUUUGAAACUGGGUGUCUAGAGUGCAGGAGAGGUAAGUGGAAUUCCUAGUGUAGCGGUGAAAUGCGCAGAUAUCAGGAAGAACACCCGUGGCUAAGGCGGCUCUCUAGUACGGUACUGACGCUGAGACGCGAAAGCGUGGGGGAGGCGAACAGG